rnacentral:rRNA from 1 species
UACAGAGGUCUCAAGCGUUGUUCGGAUUCAUUGGGCGUAAAGGGUGUGUAGGUGGCGCCGUAAGUCGGGUGUGAAAUUUCGGAGCUUAACUCCGAAACUGCAUUCGAUACUGCGGUGCUUGAGGACUGGAGAGGAGAUUGGAAUUCAUGGUGUAGCAGUGAAAUGCGUAGAGAUCAUGAGGAAGACCAGUGGCGAAGGCGGGUCUCUGGACAGUUCCUGACACUGAGACACGAAGGCCAGGGGAGCAAACGGG